rnacentral:lncRNA from 1 species
CAGGCAUUGCCGGUGGGAGGAACUCCACAGACGAGACUGUAACCUGGCCAUGGCGCAUUCUGUUCUGAUGUGCUCAACUAGACACGGGACCAAAGCUGCUUGCUAGCAGCUCUGCACUGCAGGGGCUCCUAUGACAGAAGGAGCAGGGUGCCAGCCCUGGGAAGAUCAAAGUGGCACCCUUAUGGGCAGGAUAACUAAGAGUGGUGGCCGAGAAGAUACCUGUGUCUUUUGUCCAAAUAGCACACGAUACAGGCAGUAUGAGGAAGUCUGAACAGGAAAUACAUAAUGGGACAUUCCUUAGUCUUUGGACACAAGAGAGUGUUACUUCCAAACUAAUGGGGUGGAGAAAAUUGCAGCCAGGAAAAAUAGCCUGCCAGUCCAAAGAAGGGACAGGGCACAGGAGUGUCAUGAUGAUAGUCGAGCCCCUGAAGGGACAUUUGAAGCACUGAAGAAAGGGAAGCUCAGUUGCUGAUAAUAGGCUGGCCCCCAUGGGAGAGACUGCUGGUGUCCCCAGCAGCCUGGUGGGAACAAGUGCCAAUCCUUUUGGGAGGAGGAGGAGGAGAUCAGAUUAUAUCCACAGACACUUUCACAGACAGAAGUAAUGAAGCACAAAUGAAAACCCCAGGCAGCAGUAGACAACAGAAACAUACCAGAAAGGCAGAUGCUGCAGUCACCCCAGGCAGGCUUAAAAAUAGCUCUGCUGGCACCGCAGUGAUGAAGGACUUGUGAAGAAUUUAAGCAAUGAACCAAAUGGUGAUUCUGCAACUAGACAACAGAUGAACAGACACACAGAUAACUGCUGUAACAGCAGAGUCACACCAGGCUGUCACCAUAUAUCUGGCACCCAGGAGGAUAGGACGGAUGAUGGAUUGCUGGCAAUGUAUCCCCAUCGAGUUUUAUCUGAGACCAUCACGCCCAGCAGACAGGAGAUGAUGGAUGGGCCACGAUAGCAACUGAGGAAGCAAGUGAGCCAAGGUCAUGAUUACCCAGGAGGAACAUUGCUGCAUGGCGGGAAGAAAACUGCCUCACUUCAUACUUUCAAGACUGAGGUCACAAACCCUAGGUGCAGUGGGGUCUCUUUGUCCGUAAGUGGUUCCAAAAGAGCUGGAUCUGAGGCCUAGGACUGAAGUGUCACACGGUGAAUAGUGCACUUUCCUAGGAAAGUCCUAUUCACUGUUUUCCUGUCCUUUCCAUGGACCUCACCUCACAGCCUGGCUGUGGUAGAUACUGG